ACCGAUGUGUUCAACUGGAAGGUGCAGGCCGGCUCAGACAAACUGGGCAGCUUCCCAUCCCUGGCUGUGGCCAAGAUCAUCAUCAUUGAAUUCAACCCCAUGUACCCCAAAGACAAUGACAUCGCCCUCAUGAAGCUGCAGUUCCCACUCACUUUCUCAGGCGCAGUCAGGCCCAUCUGUCUGCCCUUCUUUGAUGAGGAGCUCACUCCAGCCACCCCACUCUGGAUCAUUGGAUGGGGCUUUACGAAGCAGAAUGGAGGUAAGUCCUGGGUGAGGACCACAGGGCAGGAGAUGCCCUUGUGUGAGGGAGCAGCUUCCAGAAGUAAUGGGAAGGAGGACCACCCUUCAGAGAAACCCAUCCUGGAGGACCAAGCACCA
rnacentral:sRNA from 1 species